UGCUGACUCAGAGCGCUUCUGUGUGCAGGGGGUGGCAGCGGCUGGUAUUUUCACCGCGCUCAUCAUUAACAUUAACUCACAGUCUAGCAUCCACCCUCUUCCAGACCUGCUGGACUGCAGCAUUUGCAUGACGCUGUCACUCUAGCCUUUGCAGGGUCUCCUUAUUUUUCUACUUUUCUACUUCCUCUGUGGCUGUUUCUCAGUUGUUUGACAUCUUUCCGGAAGAAAAUGUCCCGUGCUUCGGUGAGCCAGUCGCCAGUGGGUCCUCCCCUCCCCUCGCACUGCGCUCCCCACCCCUUCCCCCGCUAAUCAAUAAGACAGAUCUUCAAAUGCAGUUGUGAAAACAGGCUCCGACACAGUCUCGUCCUGGAUCCCCUACCCCAGGAAGCAAGCAGCCAGCCUCACACGUGAUAGACAGAGAAAUAAUGCCAACAAUUCUUUAACAGCCCUAGACUUUAUUCUACGGCUUCAUUUUUUUUUUCUCCCUUGGCAGAAGAAAGAGCAAAUGAAUCUUUCCAUUUCUAUAGGAAGCCUCCAGACACCAGAGUGAGGCUGAUCUGCAUGGAUUAAUCAUUUCUACUACUACUACUAAUAAAGCUAUGAUUUUAAUAAAA